rnacentral:rRNA from 1 species
GCCUACGGGGGGCAGCAGUGGGGAAUAUUGGACAAUGGGGGGAACCCUGAUCCAGCGACGCCGCGUGAGUGAAGAAGUAUUUCGGUAUGUAAAGCUCUAUCAGCAGGGAAGAAAGAAAUGACGGUACCUGACUAAGAAGCCCCGGCUGACUACGUGCCAGCAGCCGCGGUAAUACGUAGGUGGCAAGCGUUGUCCGGAUUUACUGGGUGUAAAGGGCGUGUAGCCGGGCCGGCAAGUCAGGUGUGAAAUCCCAAGGCUCAACCUUGGUACUGCAUUUGAAACUGUUGGUCUUGAGUAUCGGAGAG